CCUACGGGAGGCAGCAGUGGGGAAUAUUGGACAAUGGGGGCAACCCUGAUCCAGCCAUGCCGCGUGUGUGAAGAAGGCCCUCGGGUUGUAAAGCACUUUCAGUGAGGAAGAACGCCUGGUGGUUAAUACCCAUCAGGAAAGACAUCACUCACAGAAGAAGCACCGGCUAACUCCGUGCCAGCAGCCGCGGUAAUACGGAGGGUGCGAGCGUUAAUCGGAAUUACUGGGCGUAAAGCGCGCGUAGGUGGCUUGAUAAGCCGGUUGUGAAAGCCCCGGGCUCAACCUGGGAACGGCAUCCGGAACUGUCAAGCUAGAGUGCAGGAGAGGAAGGUAGAAUUCCCGGUGUAGCGGUGAAAUGCGUAGAGAUCGGGAGGAAUACCAGUGGCGAAGGCGGCCUUCUGGACUGACACUGACACUGAGGUGCGAAAGCGUGGGUAGCAAACAGGAUUAGAUACCCGUGUAUC
rnacentral:rRNA from 1 species